GACGAACGCUGGCGGCGUGCUUAACACAUGCAAGUCGAACGGUGAACGAGGGAGCUUGCUCCCUCCGGAUCAGUGGCGAACGGGUGAGUAACACGUGAGCAAUCUGCCCCGAACUCUGGGAUAAGCGUUGGAAACGACGUCUAAUACCGGAUACGACGCGGGAGGGCAUCCUCUCCGCGUGGAAAGAACUUCGGUUCGGGAUGAGCUCGCGGCCUAUCAGCUUGUUGGUGAGGUAACGGCUGACCAAGGCGACGACGGGUAGCCGGCCUGAGAGGGUGACCGGCCACCCUGGGACUGAGACACGGCCCAGACUCCUACGGGAGGCAGCAGUGGGGAAUAUUGCACAAUGGGCGCAAGCCUGAUGCAGCAACGCCGCGUGAGGGACGACGGCCUUCGGGUUGUAAACCUCUUUUAGCAGGGAAGAAGCGAAAGUGACGGUACCUGCAGAAAAAGCACCGGCUAACUACGUG
rnacentral:rRNA from 1 species